rnacentral:rRNA from 1 species
CAGCCGCCGCGGUAAUACGUAGGGGGCGAGCGUUGUCCGGAAUUAUUGGGCGUAAAGCGCGCGCAGGCGGUCCCUUAAGUCUGAUGUGAAAGCCCACGGCUCAACCGUGGAGGGUCAUUGGAAACUGGGGGACUUGAGUGCAGAAGAGGAGAGCGGAAUUCCACGUGUAGCGGUGAAAUGCGUAGAGAUGUGGAGGAACACCAGUGGCGAAGGCGGCUCUCUGGUCUGUAACUGACGCUGAGGCGCGAAAGCGUGGGGAGCAACCAGGAUUAGAUACCCUGGUAGUCCACGCCGUAAACGAUGAGUGCUAAGUGUUAGAGGGGUUAAACCCUUUAGUGCUGUAGCUAACGCGUUAAGCACUCCGCCUGGGGAGUACGGCCGCAAGGCUGAAACUUAAAGGAAUUGGCGGG